rnacentral:rRNA from 1 species
CCCUUAGAUGUCCUGGGCCGCACGCGCGUUACACUGACAGAUGCAUCAAGCGGUUCACCUUGGCCGACAGGCCCGGGUAAUCUUUGUAAACUCUGUCGUGCUGGGGAUAGAUCAUUGCAAUUAUUGAUCUUCAACGAGGAAUUCCUAGUAAGCGCGAGUCAUCAUCUCGCGCUGAAUACGUCCCUGCCCUUUGUACACACCGCCCGUCGCUCCUACCGAUUGAGUGGUCCGGUGAGGCUUCGGGAGAGCUAAAUGGAUUGUGUUUCACAAACUAUUUGGCUUGAACUUAGUCAAACCUUACUACUUAGAGGAAGGAGAAGUCGUAACA